rnacentral:rRNA from 1 species
CCACUGUAGUGACACGGAAGGUAAGACAGAGCCGGGAAUGAGAAAACCAGUGCAAGCACAAUAGAUGUGUGGGAGGAAAAACCCCCGCAUAAGUCGAAGGUGUGACGCGGACCGAAAAAGAGUAGGGAAGCUGUUAAGCAAGCCGUCAAGAAAAGCUGCUAUUGUUUCAUUAUGGCCCGUACCGUAAACCGACACAGGUGGAUGGGGAGAGAAUCCUAAGGCCGGCGGAAGAAGUAUUGUUAAGGAACUCGGCAAAAUGACCCCGUAACUUCGGGAGAAGGGGUGCCUGCGAGAGCAGGCCGCAGAGAAGAGGCCCAAGCAACUGUUUAGCAAAAACACAGGUCUAUGCAAAACCGAAAGGUGAGGUAUAUGGGCUGACGCCUGCCCGGUGCUGGAAGGUUAAGGGGAGUGGUCAGGAAACGAAGCCACGAACUUAAGCCCCAGUAAACGGCGGCCGUAACAAUAACGGUCCUAAGGUAGCGAAAUUCCUUGUCGGGUAAGUUCCGACCCGCACGAAAGGCGUAAUGAUUUGGGCGCUGUCUCGACAAUACAUCCGGUGAAAUUGAAGUGCCAGUGAAGAUGCUGGCUACCUGCGCCAGGACGGAAAGACCCCAUGGAGCUUUACUCCAGCUUGAUACUGGGACCCGGUAUUGCAUGUACAGGAUAGGUGGGAGGCUAGGAAAUGUGGACGCCAGUCUGCAUGGAGCCGCUGUUGGGAUACCACCCUUGUGGUGCUGGGUUUCUAACCAGAGGCCGUGAACCGGUCUGGGGACAAUGUCAGGUGGGGAGUUUGACUGGGGCGGUCGCCUCCGAAAGGGUAUCGGAGGCGCCCAAAGGUUCCCUCAGAAUGGUUGGAAACCAUUCGAAGAGUGCAAAGGCAGAAGGGAGCCUGACUGCGACACCGACGGGUGGAGCAGGUACGAAAGUAGGGCUUAGUGAUCCGGUGGAAUUUAAGUGGGAAUGCCAUCGCUCAACGGAUAAAAGCUACCCUGGGAUAACAGGCUGAUCACUCCCAAGAGUUCACAUCGACGGAGUGGUUUGGCACCUCGAUGUCGGCUCAUCGCAUCCUGGGGCUGAAGUCGGUCCCAAGGGUUGGGCUGUUCGCCCAUUAAAGCGGUACGCGAGCUGGGUUCAGAACGUCGUGAGACAGUUCGGUCCCUAUCCGGCGUGGGCGUAGGAUAUCUGAGAGGAGCUGUCCUUAGUACGAGAGGACCGGGAUGGACUGACCUCUGGUGUACCGGUUGGCGAUCAACGCCACGGCCGGGUAGCCAUGUCGGGACGGGAUAAACGCUGAAGGCAUCUAAGCGUGAAGCCCCCCUCAAGAUGAGAUAUCCCAUCGUAAGAGUAAGACCCCUUGAAGGCGACGAGGUUGAUAGGGCAGGGGUGGAAGUGCCGUAAGGCAUGGAGCUGACUGCUACUAAUCGGUCGAGGGCUUGACCAA